AAAGAAAGAGAGAGAAAUAUAGUACAUUAUAAUAUAAAAAAUUACAAAAACUCUCUCUCUAUUGCUAUCCAUUUCUUCCUCUUGAAACUCUUUCCUUUCCUUUCUACUGUCAUCUCAUGUCACCACACUAAUUAGAUAGAUAAUUGCACAAUCUACUAACACAAGGUGCAUUGAAUGCAGUGUCUCCUCUUCUCUGUUACUUAGACUUGUAGGCAUUCAACUAAAACACAAUUUUGUGUCUGUUACAAGCCCAUUUGAGAUUGUGGAUACAAUGAUUUUGUGGUUUGUAUGAUCAUGAGAGGCAAUAAUCAAAGUUUGAACCAAGUUCUGUGCCCUUAGACAUUGGAAUUACAUAUGGAUCUAAAGUUUGUGAUUUUUUCCCCUUUUUUUCAGUUUGAAUUUCCCAUAGAGCAUAUCAACAUUAUUUCACAAGUUUUCAACACAAUGUAGAUUUAGAGAUUGAAAUGGCUAAUAAAUUAAUUCAAUGUUUGACAGGCUGUUACUAAUUAUAUCAGAUUAUUGUAUCCACAAUAGAAAUAUAUAUAUAUAUAUAUAUAUAUGUAUAAAAGAAAUAUUUAUAAGGGAGAGAUUGUGAAGUGGUGGAGGAUUUUUCUUUCCCAAUUUCCAUGUCGUUUAUAAAAUUGCAAAAAUUGAUACUUGUUCUGCAAUAUUCAAUGAUGUGUUCUGAGUUAAUAUUUAAAAAAUGGAUUUUGUGAUUAUGAUGAACAUUCUGACAUCUAUUUUUACACUAAAAGAUUAAACUAUGGAUCAAUUACACGAAAUGAAUCAUCUUAAUGUGCUGCAUUUCAUUACUACUAUGUACUUACAUAAUUAUAUUCUUUAUCUUUUCAUUUUAUAAACCUACAAUCAAAAUACAUUUUUGCAAAGAAAAAGAAAGAAAAAAACCGUAAUUUUAGUGUUUCACAUUAUAUUUAAAUGUAGUUUGAAUAUGAUUAAUGUUGCACCACAAAAUAAAUUCCAUCUGAUUACAUAUAUCAUCAUUUGUUUAUCAGUGCAGUGAUUUCAAGUGAUUUAAAUAUGUUUACACUGUAACAAAAACUGAUAAAUAAAUAAAUAAAAUGCAAAUGCAAAUGCAAAUGCAACUACAGGUAGAGAACAUGCUCAAAUUAAAUGUACUUGAAUGUAC
rnacentral:lncRNA from 1 species